UUUGGGAUGCGGGCUUGGUAUUAGAGAAGAGAGGACAAGGGGAGCGAAUCUGUACCUGUCCGAGAAUCUGGGAGUCUGGGUGCCAUCUUUCUCAGGAUGGUACUUGUUUCUUGUUUCUCCCAGGCGUAGGAGAGUUAGGAGUUCGGAAAGCCGGUUGCUGCUUCCUGCUUGGAGAGUUUGUUUGUGUCUUAUUUCUGUUUUCCCACAAGGAUGGCUUUGGUUUUUCCUGAAGUUGUCGAGGUUUGGACUUUAUUCUGAGGAUCAGUUGUGUAAGGCAUUGGCUCUCCCGCGCAGGAAUCUGUGCAAAGAGUUUGAGGUAGAGAUGGGGAAUGAGGGCUUAGAGAUGCUUGAAGUAUGGUCCUUACCCACGUGACAUAUUGGAGGUCAAGGUGAAAUAUCUGGCUUUGAAUCUUCAUGGAGGACUACAUUAUUUCAAUCCUGAAUCUGAAUCACUUCCCUUUUUGCCUUAUUACUGUAUUAAAAGUGUUUUAAUCAA